CCCGGAAUAGCACUGUGAGCCUGUCCCGGUCCAGGAGGAGUAUCUGACCCCUUCGUCCCACGCAGAUUCUCCGCUGGACCGUUAACCCCUAGGCUGCCUAAGCACCUGCAUCCGUCAGUCUGGGCCUUUCUGAGUAGCCCAAGCUGGCCUAGAAAUUGCAAUCCUCUUGCCUCAGCCUCCAAAGUUGCUGGAAUUACAGGACGUCGCUAAGUUACCUGGCUGGACCAGAACUUGUGAUCUUCCUGCCUCAGCCUCUUCAGUUGCUGGGAUUACAGUGAUUGUGCAGUGCCCUGUCUUGCUCAAGGCACCCAGAAACGCAGAAGGACAAAGGAGACCACAGCCUCAGAGCUGGACCAUCAGCUAGACAGUCAUGGAUUGUCAAGUGUUCUGUAGAGACAGGAAGCAUGAGGUGAGAAGCUGAGGUCAUCUUUUCUGGGGGAGAUCAGCCAAGGCCACGCUGAGGAGGUGACAGCUGGACUGUAAGCUCAAUGAGGAGGUCGGCCCAGGUACAGAGUGCUCUUGGUCAAACCUGGGCCCCAGCUCAUGCCAGGCAAGGCUGGGCCGUGGACACCCCGGCCCUAUCUACUCUUUUUCAGUUUGGGUUGAAACGUGUCACGGGUGUCGACAUGGAGUUCAGGUUCCGCUCUGGCGGAGGCUUGCGGAGAGGAGAGGCCCAGGCGGGCGAGUGUCCUGAACACUGCUGCUCCUGCAGAAAGUGUAAGGCCCAACAUUUCCAGAAAGGCCGAGAAGUCAGCGCAGAGAGGCCCCUGGCCACGUCAGGGCUUCAGUGGACAGGCUGGGUCUGGAGGGCUGUCGGGGCUGCGCCUCUGUCCUCGUGUGGGCCGGCGUUCCUUCUGUCUCUGGUCCUGGCAGGAGAGCGCGGCAGCUACCUGCCCACCAGUCCCAAGCAGGUCUGGUGUGCCGGACACACAGUGUCCUCGGAGGCCUUCGGGGCCCCUCAGAGGGAACAAUACACACUCUGAUUGGAAGCCGCCACCUACCCCCCUUCUCUGCACAAAUAGGGGCUGGUACCCAGCGCACCUCCCACGUCCCAGCCCAGCUCCGACAGCACCUCCCUCCCAAUAGCCUCCUCUCACCAAGAGGCACCCGCCCCAUGGCUCCCCAGCCUCCUCUCCUGCCCAAGUUCCCUCAUGGAGAGAGUGGUUCAAAGCCUUCCCAGGAGGUCUGGCUCUGGAGGACGGAGGACCGGCUGGUCUCUCAGGCCAGCAGCACACCCUUGGGUUGCCCUCUUCCUUCCCCAGCCCCCAGUCUCUGCAAGUCUACUGUGCCGUCUCCCUUGGCUGCUGGGACUCCAUGGAUUUCUGCAGGAAGCCAUGUAGGGUGGCCCGUGGAGGAGACCUGGGGAAGUGGACAUUCGUGAUGAGAGGCCCCACAUGGGGCAGGACAAGGCCCCAGUGUGCUUUGGCGGGGCCUAGCAGGGCUAUGCCUGCCAGGGCAACACCAGCAGUUCGGGCAGCUCCGUCCUCAGGCCCAGCGUUGCCCUGAAUUGUUGGCCUGGUCAGACCCUGAGACACGUCGGGGUCCACCUGGCUGUCCCCACUUUGGGAAUGGAGCUGCAGUUCCCUGGUGUCUGUGGCUGGAAGCCAGACUCAGAGUCAGGCUGAGCUGGGACAGGGCCUCUUUGAGCCGUGACUUCCUUCUCUGUAAACUGGAGCUUAUGACAGAACCCUCCUUGCAGGGCCACUGGGAGAAUCAACACCUGGGUUCGCACAGACUGCUUUGCUCAGAAAAUUCAACCCACAAGUCCCAAGGUCAGAGUUGCCAUGACCAACUGUGGCACUAUCAAAACUGUUCCCUAGCCAAGUGCAGUGGCCACGCCUGUCAUCCCAGCGACUCCGGAGGUUGAGGCAGGAGGGUCAUGAGUUCAAAGCCAGCCUCAGCAACUUAGUGAGACCCGAUCUCUAAAUAAAACAUAAACAGGCUGGAGUGCGACUUGGUGUUAGGGCCCAAGUUCAGUUCCCAGGGCCAAAAUAUAAAUUUAAAAAAUCUCUCCUCUGCCUUUGUCCCCACAAUCCCACGUCUGAGGUGAACAUUGGUGACUGCUUGCCCACACACUGAACCACGCAGAUACAAAGCUACUCGCAGGUGUCCUUUGCACCCCAUAAGCAUGGAAGACAGAGCCUACUGGAGGCCCGGGAACACUGCCCAGUAGCCGCUCCCCUAGAGCUCCAAGAUACAGGAGCGGUGGAAUGAGAAGCGAGCAGCGUGUGCACAGCCACAUGGGUUACAGAAAAUGCACGUGCUCCUGGACGUGAGGCAGGGGGUGGGGAGGGUGCGGGUGGGGAGGGGGCAUCCCCCCACUUAAAUACAGAUGCAGACUUCUAAGAAAAUGUCAGCUACAUAGGCGACACAUUUCUGUAGCGAUGAGUUUUGAAACAAGACAAAGUUGGCAGUCGCUGCAGCUGCAGGACACGGAACGUGCUAGAUGCCAUGGUCAUUGAAAUACUCCUGUUCACUUAUUUAUUUGUACUGGGGAUUGAACCCUGUACCACCGAGCUGCACCUCCCCCAGCCCUUUUUAUUUUGAAACAGGGUCUUUUUAAGUUGCCCAGGCUGGCCCCAAACUUGCCAUCCUCCUGGCUGGCUCAGCCUCCUGAGCCACUGGAUUACAGGUGCGAGCUGUCACUGUCAACACUAGGAACUAGGUAUUUGCUGAAUGAAUGAACAGGGCCUUUCAGGGGCUGAGACAAGACCAAGGUGCAGUGGGCGCCACUGAGCAUAUAGUGUUUCCAGCCUCCCCAGCCUCCUGCUGCCCUGGGGGAGGUGCGAGUUGAGUAGAACCGUCCCUUAAAUAAACAGGUCGCAGU